UCUAGCGCCGGUAGCGACCCUGGCGGCGAGUCGUUGAACCAGCAGUGCAGCAAUGGAGCUCACAGCAGGCAGGAGGCCAUGGAUCCAUGGAUCGUCACCGACAGACCGAAGACAAAGGAGGGCCGGCAGACACAUACAGAUUCCUGGAUUCUUAGCUCAACCACUGACUUCACUUGGACUUCAACCAAUAAUUAACAUCGAUGUGAAGACCAUCAGGAAUAAGGAAGAAAAACAUAUUCUCAAGAUACCACAAAUUCCUUAAAAUUUAGUAGAAAUACGAGUUGAGUGGUCUAUUCAGUGCACUAAAAUAUACUGUAAAGCGCACAAGGAAAAUGAAGAUAUUCAUUCUAAAUUCUUGACAACGUAAAAGAAAUGGACUCUACAAAAUUCACGGACAAAGGCCUAAACUAACACGAUCUUGAUUGUCAGUCCCACUCAGCAGCGUCACCCCUACAACUCUCAAGGAUUUCCAUCCCCGACAUUCCUAGAAGCAGAGAAUUCUAUUUGACGUUUAGAAUGGAGAGCAGGCAUGCACUUAAGUAGAAUUAAUUUGACAUUUUUAAUUUUCUUUACGAACAGACAUAUCGUACUAAAGGUCAACAGCAAUUGUUUACUGACGCAUUAAAAAGUAUUUAAUAUUGAA